GUUAUCAGCACGAGCUAAGCUCAAAACCCUAGCAAAAUUCGUAGGUCACCAAAAAUCUUAAAAACUAGCCGCAUCUUAAAACAGUCAUAUCUCCCUAACCGUAAUGACCUAGACGGCGAGCCACCUAUCAAUCUGAAGAUCUCGACGAAACGAAGCCAGCGCCGCUAACCUCGCGAGGAUCCGAUCUCCGACGCGCCGACACGCUCUGUUUUAGUACGUGCCGUCAAUUGCUCAAGAACCCUAAUUUUGAUGCAACUUCAAAUCGAUCGUUCUCUCAAACCAUAACGAUCCAAACGACGUGCGAUAUACCAAAUUGAAGAUCUUGAAGAGAAGAAUCCAUAGCCGGAAACCUCGCGUCAAUCAGAUCUCAGACGCCCCGCCAAUCUCUGUUUUAGUGCGCGCCGUCAAUUGCACAAAAACCCUAAUUUUGAUUCAACUUCAAAUCGAUCGUUCUCCCAAACCGUAACGAUCCAGAAGACGUGCGAUAUAUCAAUUUGAAGAUCUGGACGAGGAGAAUCCAGCGCCGCAGACCGCGCCGCGAUCAGAUCAUAGACGCGUCCUCACCGCCAUCUACAAGCCGUGCCGUCAAAAGAAAACCUAAGGCUGUUAACUUCUCUUUCUAGUUUGUUUAUAGCCGAUUUAUUAUUUGAUCUUACUAACUUCCUUUCAUCAAUUUGUUUAAGGAAAACAAAGGAUCAAAUCUAAUCAGAUCAAUUGAGGUUGAGAUUUCCAAAGGAACCAAGGAGCAAAUCGAGAUCUAAAAAUUAUAUAUAUAGGAGAUGGUUGAGAGUUGGACGAACCUGGCUUCACAACAACUGCUGGUUUAUCUCCUUUCCCAAGCCUUGAAACAAAAAAUUAUUCUCUGUUGCGCAAUCAGCCUUUGACGUUUACCAACUCCGUAGAUCAUCAAGGGAGACAGGACCAGAGGAUGCACACAUAAGAAUCAUCUGCUGUGGAAUUUGCCACACAUAACAAUCCAUAAUUUUAUCAACUCUUUCACACAUGGGAUCCUUAUCGUAUAAUUUAUUACAAUUCGCAUAACAGGACAGUGGUGGUCUACCUGCCUUUAUGGGAAGAAGUUGCAGCAACGUUUAGGGGCCUCAUCAACUCAAGUGAUAGAACCCAGUCUGUCAUGAUGGUCACAACUGUGAAUCCGAAAUUAUUUGGAGGUUUGUUGUAUUUGAUAACUUGAAACCUGUUUUCAGAAUGAUUUUGUCAAUUCAUAUAUUUAUGGAGUUAAAUAAUCUUCUAGCCUCACAGAAUUUUAUUUCGACAAGAAGUUUGCUUGCAUUUCAGAUGCUUCUGCGACUGCAGCUGCAUAAAAGUGAUGGGAGGUAUUCUUUUUUAAAAAAAUCCUUACAAGAGGAAGACGUGUGUUGUAUCUCAGUUUCAUCCGAGGAAGAUAUACUUUUUGAGAAGGAAAUAUCAGUGUUCUCUGUUGAGAUUGGACAUGGGAGUGUGCUAAUGAAGAAUCCACAUUGGUUUCCUCAGAAAGAGGUGACUAAAACCAACUAACUCCCUUCAGUUGAGAACAAGUCAUUCAUCAGUGAAUCAGUGAUGCAUACUCACAUUCCUUGAAGCGUGUUGAUAUUGGAGAAACAAGAGAAAUUCAGAGUAUGUUGGAAAAGCAAUAAAGCAAGAGCAUCUCAAGAGGAGCAAGACUAAAACUAGAAGAGUGCUUGUCUUCGGAGCCAUAAUUCACCAAUUUGUAGUAUAGAUUUCAAGGAUGUUAUCAGAUUUAACGAGUUCAUGGAACAAUUCACCAAGGAAGAAACUGAUAAAACUACUUCCUCAUUUUGACUUUGUUACCCUCCCUGAUAAGCCUAAUAAGCUGGUACACCUAUCAUUGAGCCUCUCAAGGAUAUUAGAAUCCAAUUACAAUUCCAUAAACAAAAACUCUCCCUCUGAAAUCAGAGCAUCCAAUCAAGUAUCCCACAACAGCAUGAAGUCAGAAAAAGUUAUUAAGAGCAACGAGCUCAUCUAGGUUAGAGGAUGAAUAAUUGUUCUCUUUUUUUCUUUUGAAAUUCUGUUUGUUUAGAUGGUAUUCUUCUUUAUUAUGUUUGACAUACAAAUUUCUUUUUUCUAAUAAUCCAGA